CGCAGGUAAGCAACUUUGACAAGCUGUCAGUACCACCUGUACUACGUUUCGCUUGACCGACCGCAGUAUGUUUCUCUACACAAUCACAGUAAUCAACUGUGAAAUAACUAGCUUCAGUAAAUUCAGUGAAAUUUUUCACCGCUGCCUCUUGGACUAUUAUCCUUCAUCCGACUUAAAGCUAAGCUCGAGGUCAUCGCGACCGGUGGAUGUAAAAACGACAAAACAGAAAACGUAGACCUACUAAGGAUUUUAUAACAAUUACGUUGGAAAUCGGUCCAAUUUUUGACUGAGAAACCUACGAGGGCGACGUAACAUACAUCACUACACGAGCUGAUAAAAUGUACGACUAGUCAAAUUGAUGUAGUUUUAGGGAUUUCUACAGUAGGUACAAGAGGCUUAGUUUCUCUUAAAGGUAAGGUAUGAUAAAUUCUCCCAACAGUUUGACAUAUAUCUAAUGCCACAAUUCCAAAUCUGUGAUACAUUUCAUAGAAGAAAACGUGCCAAUUCUGGAAAAUUGCCAGGCAAUAAAUUCCUAAAAAGAAAUAGAGCCUUACGGCCAUAUUCGAGCAUAUAGACAAAAAAAUGACGUACUCUGUAUCUACACAAAAACCAGUGACGCAUGCGCGCGUUGUGAAUGUUAUAUAUAGUGAUGAGUGCGCUAAUAACCGCCACAAUAACGCAAAAGACGGAAAACAUAAUACGUUGUAAAAUAAAGAGAUGAAACUAGUAGAGAUGGCAAAUUAGCAAUAGAAAUCUACAAAUUUACAUUAUACUGAUAGUUUCCCACCUAUAGACGUAGGUAUAUGAGGAGUUUGACAAACGCCACCAUGACCCCGAUACCUCUAAAAGAUGACAAACUAUCAACAUAAUUGUAAAUUUAUAGGUUUCUAAUGGUAAUUUCGCACCUCUACUAUUUCAUCGCUUUUUAUUUCACAACGUAUUAUGUUUUCCGUCUUUUCCGUUAUUUUUCUGGUUAUUAAACCACUCAUCACUGUAUAUUACAUAAAACUGUUUUAAUUUUCUGAUUAUUGACCCCAUUCUUUUUGUAGUAUCAUUACUCCUGACAGCUAUUUCUGUGUUCAAAAGUUAAAUCUGUUCUACGUUUCGCUCUGUAUAGAAAAUAAAUUACCUGUACUACAGUCAACAUUCAACGCAACUGAUAUGUCAACUCUAAGCUGCCCAAAAAUAGGCAUACGUAGUUUGAACUAAAUCUUAUCCGGAACUAAACAUAAAAUAAACGAAAAAGAAAACAGUCAUCUUUAUGUGGUUGAUAAAGCACACGUAUAUUACACGUAAUGCAGGACCCUAAAAAUAAAAAAUAUGUAUCUACUUUUAUUUUAAAAUAUAAAAGAUUGAAAUUAAGAUCACUGACACUGCUAAGCUCGGCCUUAAAUCAUAAAAUGUAUAAAGAUAAUUUAUAGAUUUGGUUUCUGAAAAUUGCUCAGGUAGAUUCUUCACAAUUUCUUAUGGCUAGAAGUCGCCCCAUGUAUCAACGUACAAGCCGUAUACAUUAUUAUUCAAUUAUUUGUUUCAAGUUUGCAAUUGUUUGUGCUGAACUAUAUUUCAUAUUGUGUACCGUUGUACCAAUUAUUAACAUUAUCAUGCCUACUAAAGUCCAAUCCUUCUAUUUUUUGAUUUGCUUGUUAUUAAUAAUUGUAUUAAUUUCAUUAUUAUUCGUACAUGCACCACUGAUUAUAAUUUUCCUUUCCUUUUAUUAAUAACUGAAUCAAGUUCAAUAUUAUUCGUAUAUUUAUCGCUGAAUAAAUUUUGGUGUGCCUUUAUUAACAAGGUUUAUUCAUUUCGUUGCUAAAUGAGCUUUAUUGAUAAUUAUGUGUAUUGAGAUAUUUUUCACCUUUGUAUCACGUUUAUAAUAUUAACAACAUAUUGCUUGUAUUAAGGUUUUAUGCCAUUAGUUCAUAUAACAAUCAACUAGCAAUAGAAUUAAUAAAGCCUAUUGUUAUUUAUGUGUUUUGUAGCUUCUCGCCAGAAUCUAUUCAUUCAAUAAGUUUUGGAUUCGUUCAGAUCAUAUAUAAUAUAUAUAUCAUUAUUUUAAUUUUGUAGAUAUCGAUGAUUUAGAAUUAAAUGUAUACAUAAUACGUGAUAUUUUCUUCUUUUAUUUCACUUGCAAAAUAGAUUUUACUACAGUCCACUUGAGCAUUCCUUUGUAUAUUUUCAUAAUAUACAUACUCAAUUCUAAGGGGAGAAACCAGCGUGUUCUAUACAACGUAUAUAUCCAUUCUUCUGAUGUCCUCAUAUGUUAUGAUUAGACCAUCGUAUGUACAGACAGCAACAUAAUGGAUAUACUUUCGUGCCUCACAAUAAGACAGUUUCGGCAGAACUUACUGUUGGCAAUUGGCUGCAGUAUGUUGUUGUUGCUGUAGAAUGCCAGUAUCUUGGUCGCUGAGCAACGGCUGCAUUAGUUGUAGUGUUAUAGAACUCGUCCUGGCCGUAAGAGUAAGAAACCAACAGAAAAUGAGAAACAGAACCCAAGGACAAGAUCAACUGUUGCAAAACUAACGCAUAUAGCAUUUUUAUAUAAAAAUCUUAUUACCCUGUCUUCACUAUCACCAUCUUUAGCUAUAUUUUCCAAUCCAAACAUCAGGCGACAACAUAUACGCAAUAAAAACGACAUAAAGAUGACAUUUGACAAACUUAAAUUCGAACAUAAUUUACAAACGAAUGUAUACAUAUUUUAUAUAAGUAUAGGGUGUUAAUAUAUGAAAAAAUACGUUAACUUAAACUUGAGUUAGAAAGUAAAAAAUAAUAAAAAAAAGGAUAACACCUUUCUAAAAUCUUUGGCACAAAUAAUCAAAUAUAUUACAAGAAUAGCAAAACAUUUUUAUUGAGUAGUAACACCGUUUUCAAAUAAUAUCAGAGGAUUACAUUAUCUAUCCAAUAUUCUACACGGGAAGGAGAACUUAAAUUUUCCAAACAAAAGUAGCUACACACCACCACGUAAAGAAUCAAUAGGCAGGUUAAAUAUGUGGAACGAAUGAGUGGACG
rnacentral:lncRNA from 1 species